rnacentral:rRNA from 1 species
UUAAAGAGGCAGAGUCGUUAGCAGCAAUCUUUGUACUCCAGAACUGCGUAGCCAGCGCAGGGCCAGGAGUCACCCGUUAGAUUAAGGUUUGACUUGACUAUUAUAUUUCCUUAGGCUUGACUUCCUGUUCAAGGUCACCCAUGACAGAGGCUUGACCAUAGCAGAGAUCUCUACCCAUGGCAUGAUAUUGACACCCUUCGAUCUGGGGUUACAGGAUAGACCCCAUUAGUUCAGAUACGGGGCAUGUCAGUUAAGUGAGAACUCCCACAGUAAUAGUUUCAGUAUCAGUCUUCAGAGUAGGACUUCAAAAUUAGGACUGUCAGAUACAAUCAUCAAUCCCUGUGAGGAACUCAUAUAGUUCCAUAGAUUCAUAGACCACCUGCUAGAUAGGCUUAGUCUCAUAUAAAUUUAUUCAGUAUCAGUACCUACAGAGGACACCCGUCAUAUAGGCUUGAUCUCAAUCUCAGAUUCAGUUGAGUAUUCUUACUAUCAGUUCUAGAGAUCAGCCGUUAGUAAGGCUUGAUCUCAAGCCUAGGCAAUCUUAAUCCUCAUUAGCAGAUUUAGAGAUCAACCUGCUAUAUAGGUUUGAUCUCAGAUUCAACUAAUUAAUAUCAGUUAUCGAUAGACUCAGUUAUCUAGUUUAUAAGUAUUAAUAAGUACAGAUAUCAAUUUUAGUACUAUCAGAUAUGUAUAAUCUCAAUAUAUUUAGAAACCUCAGAUUGAUGGUAUAUUUAGUAUAAUUAUCAGAUUCAGUCCCAGUAUUCUCAGUCACAUUAUGCAUAGUAUGUUAAAUAGUUACAGAUUCUCUAUGUUUGCUAAUCCAGCUCUUGCAUAUCAUUCAGUUAGUUAUUGUUCAUUCAUAAGCCCUAGCAUUUAGCCUUACCUCAUUUCCAUACUCAUUAUAGUCCUGUAUUGAUGCAUUUCCACUAUGGUAUUUUAUUUGAAGCCAUAGGUUCAAAAGCAUGAGCCCCAGAGCACUCUUAGCAGUCCAAAUCUAGUCAGCAGCAGUAGAUGUAGCAGUGAUUCCUCUUCAUUAAAGGAUGAUCCUUAUUUUUUAUAUCUCAUUAUAUUUAUAUCAUUUUCAUUAGAAGGAGUUAGUUGGGACAUGUCCCAUCAACUUCACAGUUCAGACAGUUAGAGGUUUUUCAGAUAGAUGUAUUAGUAUUCAGUUUUUAAUUUUGAGUAUUUUUAGACAUUUUGAAACUUAUGGAAAGUUUUUUCCAUCUUUCCGUAUUUAUAUUUAUAUAUUAUGUAGUGUACAGGAACAGAUAUCAGUCUUGGGUUAGCUUGUGGUCCUUCAGGGUCAUGAGCAUUAUGUAGCAUCCCAGUUUGGAAAAUCAGGGUGUUACAGGUAUACUCCCAAUGGCCCUUGAAAAUACGGAUGACUUAAUGUUUUCCAUACCCAUUUUCACUCAUUACCGCAUCAAGUCUCCAAAGUGAACAACCUCUGAUUAAUGGAACAAUGUAGGCAAGAAAGUUGGCAAAAUGGAUCCGUAACUUUAGGAAAAGGAUUGGCUCUAAGGGCUAGGCAUGGGGAUCCCAGUCCCAAACUCGUCGGCUAUCAGGGGACUGCGCGAGAUGCUCCUAUAGUGAGAACGGGUCUCCACGGGCCGUACGGGGGAUAGACUGGGAAUGAUUCCGUUAGGGGCCUUCCCCGCGCGUCGAACAGCCAACUCAAAAAUGGUACAAACAAGGAGAAUCCAACUGUUUAAUUAAAACAAAGCAUUGCGAUGGUCACAAUAGAAGUUCAUGCAAUGUGAUUUCUGCCCAGUGCUCUAAAUGUAAAAGUAAAGAAAUUCAACCAAGCGCGAGUAAACGAUGGGAGUAACUAUAAUCUCUUAAGGUAUCCAAAUGCCUCGUCAUCUAAUUAUUGAUACACAUGAAUAGAUUAACGAGAUUCCCACUGUUCCUAUCUACUAUACAGUGAAAACACAGCCAAGGAAAUGGGCUUGGCAGAAUCAGUGAGGAAAGAGGACCCUAUUAGGCUUGACUCUAGUGUGACUUUGUGAAAUGACUUAAGAGGUGUAGUAUAAGUGGAAGGCAAAAGGCAAAAGUGAAAUACCACUACUUUUAACAUUAUUUUACUUAUUUCGUAAAAUCAAAAGUGGGGCACUGCCCCUCUUUUUGGACCUAAGGCUCACUUUGUGGGCCGAUCUGGGCGAAAAACAUUGAUAGGUGUAGAUUUUGGCUGGGGCAGCAAAUCUUUUAAAAGAUAACGCAGGUGUCCUAAUAUGAGCUUAACGAGAUUAGAAUUCUCAUAUGGAAUAGAAGGGUAAAAGCUCAUUUGAUUCUAAUUUCCAGUACAAAUACGAACUGGGAAAGCAUGGCCUAACGAUCACUUAGACCUUUGAAAUUCGAAGCUAGAGGUAUCAAAAAAGUUACCACAAUUAUAAAUAUCUUGUGGCAGCCAAGCAUUCAUAGCGACUUUGCUUUUAUAUCAUUCGAUGUCAGCUCUUUCUAUCAUUGUGAAGUAGAAUUCACUAAGUAUUGGAUUAUUCACCCACCAAUAGGGAAUGUGAGCUAGGUUUAGACCGUUGUGAGACAGGUUAGUUUUACCCUACGGAUGAUAGUGUCGCAAUAAUAAUUCAACCUAGUAUGGGAGGAACUGUUGAUUCACAAAAUUGGUCAUUGCACUUGGUAGAAAAGCCAGUGGUGCGAAGCUACUAUGUGCUGGAUUAUGAUUAAACGCCUGAUAUUCCAGCUUUUAUUUGAGAUGUCAAGUGAUUUACUGAAGAAAUUAUAGCUGAAAUAGUUAGGCCAUUUCAAACUAUUCAAGUUUGGAUGGAUAACAUGGAAACUCGCAUAAACAAAAGGCUAGAUUUGUUAUCU